rnacentral:rRNA from 1 species
UACGUAGGGGGCGAGCGUUGUCCGGAAUUAUUGGGCGUAAAGAGCUCGUAGGCGGCCUGUCGCGUCGACCGUGAAAACCCGCAGCUCAACUGCGGGCUUGCGGUCGAUACGGGCAGGCUGGAGUUCGGUAGGGGAGACUGGAAUUCCUGGUGUAGCGGUGAAAUGCGCAGAUAUCAGGAGGAACACCGGUGGCGAAGGCGGGUCUCUGGGCCGAUACUGACGCUGAGGAGCGAAAGCGUGGGGAGCGAACAGG